GAUGAACGCUAGCUACAGGCUUAACGCAUGCAAGUCGAGGGGAAACGGCAUUAAGUGCUUGCACUUUUUGGACGUCGACCGGCGCACGGGUGAGUAACGCGUAUCCAACCUUCCCAUGACUAAGGGAUAACCUGCCGAAAGGCAGACUAAUACCUUAUGGUCUUCACUGACGGCAUCAGAUGUGAAGUAAAGAUUUAUCGGUUAUGGAUGGGGAUGCGUCUGAUUAGCUUGUUGGCGGGGUAACGGCCCACCAAGGCAACGAUCAGUAGGGGUUCUGAGAGGAAGGGCCCCCACAUUGGAACUGAGACACGGUCCAAACUCCUACGGGAGGCAGCAGUGAGGAAUAUGGGUCAAUGGGCGAGAGCCUGAACCAGCCAAGUAGCGUGCAGGAUGACGGCCCUAUGGGUUGUAAACUGCUUUUGUAUGGGGAUAAAGUCAAUCACGUGUGAUUGUUUGCAGGUACCAUACGAAUAAGGACCGGCUAAUUCCGUG
rnacentral:rRNA from 1 species